CUUUUUUUUUGAUAAAGUAGAGUUUCAAAGUAAAAGUGCUCUGUUCUCAUCCUUGAACGGGUUUUUUAUUUAUUUAAGAAUCAUCAAUCAUAAAACACUGUUUUCAUAAAACACUUAUAUAAAUAUAAAUAAACGUCUAUGACAACAUGCAAUGUGUUCAGGAAUGUUAGUUUUAUAUUUCUUUAGAAAUUGUUUUGUUGGAUAAAAUGAAUGUGGCAGUGAGCCAGCAAAAACGUGGUGGUGUAACAUUAAACACUACAUUAUGCUAUAAUGCAGAUAAGACCUACCACAGUUCUUUAAUAAUUCACUGUAUAAGUGAACAAAUGGCCUUCAGUAAGCAAGUGUUUUAGCAACCGAAUGAAGGUUUCAGCCCAUUGAGUAUGCUGGUAGGCUGGUACAGUAGUAGUACAGUAGGUGUGCCAAGUUUCGUCGGCCACAUUUCUUCAGGAGUUCCACCCACUCUGCUGCAGUAGCUUCCUGCUUUCAGUCACAUUUCCACACACAAACUCUUGGUCUUAUCCGGAGAUGUCUUUGAGUGAGAAAAGUGAUGAGGAGAUCAGCGAGUUGCUUGCUGAGUAUGGCAUCAAACAUGGACCCAUAGUAGACUCUACUAGAAAGCUGUAUGAAAAGAAGCUUGAAAAGGCCAUGGAGGCCACUCCACUGCAAGCCUCAUCUGAUAAGACCUACUACAGAGAGGAAGAGGAGGAAGUCACCUACAUCACAUACCAGAGUCCUGUGAGUCCAGAUUGUCUGCUUAUUCCUGUUUGUGCCAAGUGUUUGUGCCUGCUCUGUGACUGUAAAUAAUCUCACAAACUAUCCUUCUUUCAUUUUCACAGGUUAGACAUGAGGUUUAUGGGGAUGUGUGAGUACAGUCUUCACACACACACACACACACACACACACACACACACACACACACACACACACACACACACACACACACACACACACACACACACACAAGGUAUGUUGAUGCUAGAUAAUGCCCUGAUUAACCUGUGAGGGGGGCAGAAAUAUGUGGCUGGGCCUGUAUUAAAGGGUAACUUUGGUUACGGUAAUAUCACUGUUUGGUUGCUUUGAACACAGCAAUAUGACUUAUUUAUGGUUAAAUAAAAAGACUCUUAUUUUUUCUUAAAAAGGUCUAACUCGGUAGGGAUCCUUUCCGUAAUGUUGUCAGACACUUAGAAUAACAAUCUGAACCUGUCAUGGGCAGAAACAACAACUUUUAAUGGAUAUACUUUGAUGGUUUGCCUAGGGAAUUUCCCUUGUGGCGAUUUAGGUUGGCUCAACAUACCCACAUACCUUAUACCUUAUGCGGUAUUAAGCCAUUUUUGUUGUUUUGCUUAUUACUUUGUAAGGGGUACAAUGGGAUACUGUUUCAUCCCAGUACCUGCUUGUACUAUUCACUCUCCCUCUUGCUGCCCCCUGGAUCUGUGACUUUGUUAACUGGAGACUUUCAGCAAAAACAAACAGUCAACAAUUAGUUAACAUAUUUGGCUGAAUGUAAUCAGUUAACAGGGUCACUUGUUACUGUACUAGUACUGCUGGUGUUUGCAGAGCAAGUGAGGGAGAGGCUAGGUGACUUUGUCCUGUGGGGAACUGUAAUGCUGGGCUGUGGACUGAGUGAUACUGAGUAGCACUAUGUUUCAGUCUCCUCAGCCUGGUUGCUCUGGGACUCUUUCCCGUCUUAAACAAAUACUGAACGUGAUGUAAUGAUGUGGCGUCACAUGCGGCUGUGGUGGUGGCUUGCCAUCCCCUCCAAUUGGCUUGUCAAUAGCGCUAUAUUUCAUUACUUUGGUUAUUGUGACAGUGCUAUGUGCGCCCCAUAAGGAUUACGUUGCAGCCCUCUCAUUCAGACAGAAAAACAUAGGAAAAUAUGGUCCAGGGUGUAAAAAACCCACAGUUACCCUUUAACCCACCCCCUCCCCCCCUUUAUGUAUAUCAACCCUCUCAGCUCCAUGUUCCAGUUCAGUACAGUGCACACAGACACCCAGGAAACAACCAGUACCCCUUAACAUUCUAACAUCAGCAUGUUAAUAUGCUUAUAGUGACAAUGUUGACAUGUUUAGGUUAGCAUAAUAUUUACCAUCUUUACCAUUUUAGUUUAGUGUGUUAGCAUGCUUUAAUUAGCGUUAAACACAAAGCUAAAGGCUGAUGGGAAUACUUACUGUUAGAUUUCAUGGCAAUCCAUCCAAUAGUUGCUGAGAUAUUUCUGUCUGGAUCCAAGAGGUGGACCAACCACCGCCAUCACUAGCGCCUGCUGCUAGCAAGGAUUUAAUUUAAAUUAAACUUGAUUUUAGAAAACACUUUAAACUAGUUGAUUUGCAAUAUUCUUACUGCAAUUGCAAUUUUUUCCACUUUCUGCUAAAUGUGACUACGCAUAGCUGUCAGAUAAAUGUUGUUCAGUCAGACAACUCACAUUUAAAAUGUUUACUACAGCAGCAUAGUAUAUGGGGAGUGAUGAGCAAAUACCUUAAACCCCUAGCUGGAGCCUACAGGUGGAUGCUGGGGUGGUGGUGGGGCGUACAGCGAAGCAGGCAGCAAUACGGAUGCAGGGCAACAGCGGCAUUGACAGAGCAGAGGGAGAGCUGGGAAAUUUUGCAGUUUAAAUAGACCGCCGGAUUGAAAGAGAGCGCUUUGUUAGUGAUUAUGGAGUGAAGCAUGUCACGUGUAUAUAGCAGCGCAGCUCGAGUUGACUGCCUGAACUAGCUCACAGGCUUUGCUCCAUUUGCAUAAAAAGAACAAUAUUUCCCUCCCUAUUUAUUGGAGUAGUAGUGGAGUAGCAUACAAUGAAAAUACUCAGGUAAAGUGCAAGUACCCUUACAGUGGGAGCAAUAAUUAUUUGAUCCCUUGCUGAUUUUGUAGGUUUGCCCACCUACAAAGAAUGGAACUGUGUAUCAUUUUAAUCAUAGGUACAUUUUAACGUUGAGACACAAUAUCACAAAAAAAUCCAGAAUAACAUCAUACAAAUUGUAUAUAUUUAUUAUCAUAUUUCCUCAUGAAAUAAGUAUUUGAUCCAUAGAACAAUAGGACGUAAUACUUGCUGGAGAAACCUUUGUUGGCAAGCACAGAGGUCAGACGUUGGUUGUAGUUUUUCCACCAGGUUUGCACAGAUAUUGGGAGGGAUUUUGAUCCACUCCUCUUUGUAGAUCCUCUCGAAAUCCUUAAGGUUCCGAGGCUGUCGCUUGGCAACUCGUACCUUCAGCUCCCUCAACAGAUUUUCGAUGAGAUUUAGGUCUGGAGACUGCCUAGGCCACUCCAGGACCCUAAUAUGCUUCUUUUUGAGCCAUUCCUUUGUUGCCUUGGCUGUAUGUUUUGGGUCAUUGUCAUGUUGGAAGACCCAUCCAAGACCCAUUUUCAGUGCUCUCACUGAGGGAAGGUUGUCGCCCAAAAUUUCCCGGUACAUGGCCCCAUUCAUCCUCCCCUCGAUACGGUGAAGUCGUCCUGUCCCCUUAGCUGAGAAAAACCCCCAAAGCAUAAGGUUUCCAC
ensembl:lncRNA